rnacentral:lncRNA from 1 species
CACCCCCUUCUCUCUGCUGCUCCCCGCGACCUGCGAUUUCCUGGGGGUCCGGAACUCUGGACCCAAGGCACCGGUCACCCCCUCAGGACGGCUCCUAGCUCAUCUGAGAAGCCCCUGUGCCCAUGUCCACCCAUAAGCAGAUGGCCUCCCCCCAACCAUGAGGAUUUUUUAAUGGGGUGAAAAUGCCAGUCCCCGAAGCCAGGGUUCUCGGACCCCCAGGGCCGAGCUGGGCGCGGGAGCCCCGCAGGGGCGGGGAGGCCGACCGAGGUAGGUGGAGGAACUAUUUCUUGACGUAAUCCGUCUCUGUCGGCCCCGACGCUCCCGCAGUCUCUGCGCGAGCCGAGAUCAGCGAUUGUCAGUUCGGAACGUGGCUUUUAAAAAUGCGUUUUUAAAUAGUGUGUAUCUUGAAGAAGUGUAGGAGAGAUCUACACAACUUAAGUGGGGCGUCCCCAUCCCAUCUUCCUGCGCACCCUCCUUUGCCCCCAACUCCAUCUCUGCGACACUUCCCCACCCCCACUCCCCCCAAAAAGUCGCUCCCGGGCUCUGUCUGCAGAGAGCCAGGGUGAGAGCGGGCAAGGCAAAAGAGCGACCUCGGUCGUGGGCAAGUAGCUUGUUUUUACGUCCCUCAAUAAAAUUUUUAUGAGGAUC